CGGGAUCCCGGUCUGCAGUUGCAGGCCGGCGGCGCCGGUGCCGCCGUCCAGGCCGGUGCUGACGUCGGCGAUGCCGCCC
rnacentral:tRNA from 1 species